GCUUGUCUCAAAGAUUAAGCCAUGCAUGUCUAAGUAUAAACUCAUAUACGGGUGCAACUGCAGAAGGCUCAUUAAAACAGUUAUCGUUUAUUUGAUGGUACCUUACUACAUGGAUAACCGUAGUAAAUCUAGAGCUAAUACAUGCGUAAAAUCCCGACUUUUUUUUAACGGAAGGGAUGUAUUUAUUAGAACCAAAACCAAUGCGGUGGGGGUCAAACUCUGCCGGUCAUAUGGUGAGCCAUGAUAACUUUGUCGAAUCGCAUGGAUUCAUUCCGGCGAUAGGUCAUUCAAAUUUCUGCCCUAUCAGCUUUCGAUGGUGGUGUCUUGGACCACCAUGGCAUUGACGGGUAACGGAGAAUUAGGGUUCGAUUCCGGAGAGGGAGCCUGAAAAACGGCUACCACAUCUAAGGAAGGCAGCAGGCGCGCAAAUUACCCAAUCCUGACGCAGGGAGGUAGUGACAAGAAAUAACAAUACCGGUCCUUUUUGGGUCUGGUAAUUGGAAUGUAUACAAUUUAAAUCCCUUAAUGAGGAUCCAUUGGAGGGCAAGACUGGUGCCAGCAGCCGCGGUAACACCAGCUCCAAUAGCGUAUAUUAAAGUUGUUGCAGUUAAAAAGCUCGUAGUUGGAUAUCUGGCUUAGGCCACCUGGUCCGUUUGUUUCUCCUCACGGAGGGAUGAAUGUGUACUGGAUGUUCGGCUUUUGCCAUCCUUCUAGAUCUUUUUUCUCUUCACGGGGAGAAGAGGUCUGGAUCUUUUACUUUGAAAAAAUUAGAUUGUUCAAAGCAGGCAGUAAUGCUGUGAAUACGUUAGCAUGGAAUAAUGAAAUAGGACUUUGGUUCUAUUUUGUUGGUUUCUAGGACUGAAGUAAUGAUUGAUAGGGAUAGUUGGGGGUGCUUGUAUUGAACGGCCAGAGGCGAAAUUCUUGGAUUCGUUCAAGACAAACUACUGCGAAAGCAUUUACCAAGGAUGUCUUCUUUAAUCAAGAACGAAAGUUGAGGGAUCGAAGACGAUCAGAUACCGUCGUAGUCUCAACAGUAAACGAUGCCGACUAAGGAUCGGUGGGUGUUGUUUUUUAUGACCCCAUCGGCACUUUACGAGAAAUCAAAGUUUUUGGGUUCCGGGGGGAGUAUGGUCGCAAGGCUGAAACUUAAAGGAAUUGACGGAAGGGCACCACCAGGAGUGGAGCCUGCGGCUUAAUUUGACACAACGCGGGGAAACUUACCAGUUCCAGACUCAGUUAGGAUUGACAGAUUGCAGAUCUUUCUUGAUUCUGAGGGUGGUGGUGCAUGGCCGUUCUUAGUUGGUGGAGUGAUUUGUCUGGUUAAUUCCGUUAACGAACGAGACCUCAUCCUGCUAAAUAGUCGAGCGUAUACAAU
rnacentral:rRNA from 1 species